rnacentral:rRNA from 1 species
UACAGAGGUCUCGAGCGUUAGGCGGAAUCACUGGGCUUAAAGCGUGUGUAGGCGGGUCGGUAAGUACCUUGUGAAAUCCCACGGCUCAACCGUGGAACUGCUGGGUAUACUGCCGAUCUUGUGCAACCUAGGGGCGAGCGGAACAGAUGGUGGAGCGGUGAAAUGCGUAGAUAUCAUCUGGAACGCCAAUGGUGAAAACAGCUCGCUGGGGGUUUGCAGACGCUGAGACACGAAAGCCAGGGGAGCGAACGGGG